UACACAUGCAAGUCGAACGGCAGCACGGACUUCGGUCUGGUGGCGAGUGGCGAACGGGUGAGUAAUACAUCGGAACGCGUCCUGGAGUGGGGGAUAGCCCGGCGAAAGCCGGAUUAAUACCGCAUACGCUCUGAGGAGGAAAGGGGGGGAUCGAAAGACCUCUCGCUCAAGGGGCGGCCGAUGGCAGAUUAGCUAGUUGGUGGGGUAAAGGCCUACCAAGGCGACGAUCUGUAGCUGGUCUGAGAGGACGACCAGCCACACCGGGACUGAGACACGGCCCAGACUCCUACGGGAGGCAGCAGUGGGGAAUUUUGGACAAUGGGCGCCAGCCUGAUCCAGCAAUGCCGCGUGUGUGAAAAAAGCCUUCGGGUUGUAAAGCACUUUCGUCCGGAAAGAAAUCCUCUGGGUUAAUACC
rnacentral:rRNA from 1 species